rnacentral:rRNA from 1 species
ACGUGCUUGCACUGAAUGAGAUUUUAACACGAAGUGAGUGGCGGACGGGUGAGUAACACGUGGGUAACCUGCCCAGAAGCAGGGGAUAACACCUGGAAACAGAUGCUAAUACCGUAUAACAGAGAAAACCGCCUGGUUUUCUUUUAAAAGAUGGCUCUGCUAUCACUUUUGGAUGGACCCGCGGCGCAUUAGCUAGUUGGUGAGGUAACGGCUCACCAAGGCGAUGAUGCGUAGCCGACCUGAGAGGGUAAUCGGCCACAUUGGGACUGAGACACGGCCCAGACUCCUACGGGAGGCAGCAGUAGGGAAUCUUCCACAAUGGACGCAAGUCUGAUGGAGCAACGCCGCGUGAGUGAAGAAGGGUUUCGGCUCGUAAAGCUCUGUUGUUAAAGAAGAACGUGGGUGAGAGUAACUGUUCACCCAGUGACGGUAUUUAACCAGAAAGCCACGGCUAACUACGUGCCAGCAGCCGCGGUAAUACGUAGGUGGCAAGCGUUAUCCGGAUUUAUUGGGCGUAAAGCGAGCGCAGGCGGUCUUUUAAGUCUAAUGUGAAAGCCUUCGGCUCAACCGAAGAAGUGCAUUGGAAACUGGGAGACUUGAGUGCAGAAGAGGACAGUGGAACUCCAUGUGUAGCGGUGAAAUGCGUAGAUAUAUGGAAGAACACCAGUGGCGAAGGCGGCUGUCUGGUCUGUAACUGACGCUGAGGCUCGAAAGCAUGGGUAGCGAACAGGAUUAGAUACCCUGGUAGUCCAUGCCGUAAACGAUGAUUACUAAGUGUUGGAGGGUUUCCGCCCUUCAGUGCUGCAGCUAACGCAUUAAGUAAUCCGCCUGGGGAGUACGACCGCAAGGUUGAAACUCAAAAGAAUUGACGGGGGCCCGCACAAGCGGUGGAGCAUGUGGUUUAAUUCGAAGCUACGCGAAGAACCUUACCAGGUCUUGACAUCUUCUGCCAACCUAAGAGAUUAGGCGUUCCCUUCGGGGACAGAAUGACAGGUGGUGCAUGGUUGUCGUCAGCUCGUGUCGUGAGAUGUUGGGUUAAGUCCCGCAACGAGCGCAACCCUUAUUACUAGUUGCCAGCAUUCAGUUGGGCACUCUAGUGAGACUGCCGGUGACAAACCGGAGGAAGGUGGGGACGACGUCAAAUCAUCAUGCCCCUUAUGACCUGGGCUACACACGUGCUACAAUGGAUGGUACAACGAGUCGCGAAACCGCGAGGUUUAGCUAAUCUCUUAAAACCAUUCUCAGUUCGGACUGUAGGCUGCAACUCGCCUACACGAAGUCGGAAUCGCUAGUAAUCGCGGAUCAGCAUGCCGCGGUGAAUACGUUCCCGGGCCUUGUACACACCGCCCGUCACACCAUGAGAGUUUGUAACACCCAAA